GUCCAGACUCCUACGGGAGGCAGCCGUGGGGGAUAUUGCACAAUGGGGGGACCCCUGAUGCAGCGCCUCCUCGUGGGUGCAGGAGCGUUUCGGCGCGUCCAGCCCUAUCGUCCUGGAAGAGGGCGGCCGGUACCUUCCUUCUAAGCCCCUUCUCCCUACGGGCCCGCCUCCGCGGGACUCCUUCGGGGGCACGCUGUAUCCGGGUUUACUGGGUGUAAAGGGGGCGCAGACGGCAGGGGAAGCCAGGAGUGAAAGCCCGGGGCACAACCCCGGGACUGCUCUUGGAACUGGGCGGCUGGAGUGCAGGAGGGGCAGGCGGAAUUCCUGGUGUAGCGGUGAAAUGCGUAGA
rnacentral:rRNA from 1 species